AUUUACCCUUUGUAGUUAUUUUGCCAGUGCUGCUGUCACUGACGUCAACACUUUUGACGUGAUGUCAUUAUUGCUUUUUAUUUUUUACUUUCACUUUAUGAAAAAAAAAUUAACUUUUUUUGUUAUACUCGUACAAAAGUUAGUGAGCGACACGAAAAUUGAUAUUUCAACUCAACAAUAUCCCAUUCCAAAAUUUUCAUUUGGUUUGACUUAUCGCCACUUGUAUCGGGUGUCAAUUUUUAUUGACAAAAAAAUAUCUUUUUAUGGAUUUAUGAAAAAUUGAUUAGAUCGCGCAGAAAUUCGCGUCUGUGAGUGAGGUUAAGAGCAGCCGGAGCGAAAACUAAUCCGCUUUCAUCCUACAAGAACAUAUGGCGUUGGUUUGAAUGGCGCUGGUUUGAAAUAAUAAUUUUAUACGGGUUAAACUCAGAUUUGCAUGGAAAAAAACCGGAAAAGUAGUACCGUUACUGGUUUUUCAAUGCUUUGGAAUCCCGAAUAUAUGUAUGUAUGUGACAUAUUGUAAUAAUAAUGUUAAUUAUCUCCGCUCUUUUCUCAAAUUAUGCGAGUUGAUGUUUUCCAACAAAUGGAGGGACCUGCAGUUUAUUCUAAGCCACCUCCGAACGACCGUUGGAUUUUUUUGAGAAGCUCUUAUUUCACACGGAGGGACCACCGUAAUAAGGAAAAUUGAUGCUUAUAGGAAAACCAACGUAAGUCCCGUGGUGGAUGCCUGGAAGCAUCAAUUUCACUGAUGCUUGAGCUCGUUGACUUGAGCAUUUUUCUCAUCAAGUCUUGAUGUUAUAAAAAAAACCAACCUACUUUCUCUACAUAAUCAAAACAAAUUUUCAUAACCUGAAAAAGCAGCGCCGUAAUUGCACAACAACGCUCUAGAUGUGCGCAUCCUUCUCAACAUCUGCUUUUCCAAUAUCCACUUUUAUCACUUUUUAAAGACUUACAAAACCAAAAGUAUUACACAACUUUCAACAACUUGAUUUACCACCCACAAACUGGGUAGCACCUGAUAAGUAGCACACACAGCCUGUGGUGAAACAUUUGGUUCGGUAGUACAAUUUCCCAACUUAAAUUGGACUAGUCUGAAAAUACGAAACUUUUAGUAUGACGAAACCGGACUUUUAGGUCAAAAAACAGUUUGGAACCACUUCAAAAAGGCUGGAUACAAAAAGGAGCUGGAUGUUUGGGUGCCAAAAUCGACCCCUUUCUAAAACGGAUGGUGGACUUCAAAUGAAAAGGGUCAUGGCCGGUCUCCAAGUCAGGAUUGGCACUAUGAGCUGCUUGCCUGCGGCCAAAUUUUUAAUUCGAGCCUGCACUGCCAGCAAUCGGGGCAUAUAAAAGUAGCAAUCUUCCAUAAGAGCGCAGCUUUGGCCACUGGAAUGGGAAUUGUGUUUAAUCAGGACAACGCCAGACCACUCACGUCGUUAGUGAGUCGCCAGAAGAUAAGAAAGCUUGGUUGAUGAUUUGCCUGGUGAAGAGUUGGCCUCAAGAAAAGUUGCUGAAAAUCGUUUGUCCCAGUUUUUUGCCAACAGAGAUUAGAGUUUCAUUUCAAAAUGGUAAAAAGUUAUCGCGCAAAACGAUGCAUAUUUGGCAUGUAUCGGAUAAUUCUAAUUACUGGAUGGCUUUCUACUAGAAUACUAUUAUCCAUCAAGAUUUGUAUUCAUUUUGAUGAAUGUAGUUUUUUUUUUUUGUUCUUUGGAAUUUCUCAACUCCUAGGACGGCGCAGUGUUGGAAUCAUCACUUUGCGUCAUGCGCUAUUAACUUUUUGUUGCAAAUUAGUAAGCGAAAGAGCUAUUUGUUUUAUACAAAUCGAAUAUUUUGUUGUUAAACAAAAAAAGUGUUUGAAGCGGCAGCUGAAAGCCUUUGGUGAGCUCCUUCGUAAUACCUGCAGACCAGUUGACUCUCCUGCUAGGUGCGGCAGGUGCGUAUAUGCGCAAGGUGAUAUUUCGAGAAGUAGAAUGGGUGAAUGACAGGGUUUGCAAGCCAAAUAGGACGUACGCAGCUGCAAAAACCACAAAAGUUGACAAUUUAUUACAGGGAAGCGAUGAAAGACAAAAAAAUGAAGCAAAAGUAAACGUAAAAGCUUGAACGAAGAGCAAAAUUAGCAUGGGAAAUAGUAAAAGUAAAGAGAAACGUGGACAAAGAGUAAUGUACCGCUGAUUAAUAUGAAAACUAUUAUGCUUGUGUGUGCGCAUGUGUGCGUUGCGCGCUUAAAGAGAACAGAAACAGAGAACGUGUACACAAAAUGCAGUUCGCCCAACUUAACUCAACUGCUAAAUUAAGUUGAUAAACGUUUCGGCAAAGCGGCAAAAAUGAAAGAGCAAAAGUGCAAUGGGAUUUAGGGACGCUCGCAGAGUGGCAAAUGGCACCACUGGUAAAGCAAGGGUUAAAUUGUCACAAGCUGUGCGAGUUAAAAGUGCAGAUAAAUCCAGAGCUAACGGUUAAAUUUAUACGAGUAUAUCAACUGAAUGCAACUCCAAAGACUCUCUGUUGAUGAAGUAUGCAUUGACUUUUGAACGUGUAAAUACUACUUUGUUAUGCAUCACACCACGUUUGCCACACACCACACUACUAAGCAAAUAAAUUCGUUUCAAUGCCGGCCGGUAUAUUCGAUAAUUAUGUGUAUACACGUCAGCUCGCAAUGGCAAAAGUAAAAAUUUUGCAAGGCAAAAACGAAAUAAUAACUAGCGGACAACUUGAAAGUAAAAUGAGCAAAUGAAACACGUAAAGCGAACGCGGUUGCGCAGCCAAGUCAGCCAAUGCAAGUAGUCAGCUACCAGACGGUAUGAACUCAGUUUUUAGAUGCAACGGUGGCAGUGGAAGCAGCGGCAUGGAGAGACUUCAUAAGUACAUAAGCAUUAAAAGGCAAACAGAAAAAAAUAAACAAAAAAACCUGCACCAGCAAGUAGACGGCGUGAGUUGACUUUGAAGAAUGCCAACGUUUGGCAAUUACCAAGCGCCAACGGUGUAGCACACGUGUGCAGUGGUAAAUACGAAGAAAGACGGCUGGCGGUGCCUAAAGUUCAAAAGAAACAACUAUGAAGAUGGAUAUGAAGACAAGCUCGCACAGGCGGCAAGCGAAAUGUCUACAGCAUGCUGUCGGUGGUCGCAGCCAAACGGACACUAUCUGCAAAUGCCACAAACAGGAAAGCACAUUUCGUAUGGCAGCCACAACGUCGGCUAUGCCUAUACAUCAAUUUGUAUAUAAUGGGUGCUGAUGCAUGGAGUAAAAGGUAAAUACUAAAAUAUUUAUUUGAAAUUGCGUUCGGCUUCCUUAAUCAAGAGUGGCAUGGCCUAAACUAGUAUUUUUCAACAGAAAGUCCAACCUACUAGAAAGAAGCAAAAGUCGAUACAAAGUUAAAAAUUAUUGUGGUUUUGUUUCAUGUUAGGGAGAAUUGACCAAUUGGCCUUUUCCUACCCAUAGGUCAGUGUGAAAAACGGCUGGUUGAGUGUCUGAUGGCUCAGACUGUGCGAUCGGCUGAUAAAUAGGCAAUUACUGCUAAACACAUUCUCAUAUUUCUUGUCAAUAAAAAGUAGAUUUUAUAGAUAUUUUAAGAUAGUUAUGUAAAUUGUAACAACAAAUACAAAAAAAGAAAGAUUAAAAUCAAAAUUGGUUUUAAAUACAGAAAGCUUUUCGACACUUUUCAUAUCACCUUGUAUAAGAGACUAUUACGUAUAUAGAUAUGCAUAUGUAUAUCGAGUGUUGUGUAUUAUUGGAGUGCAGAGCAGCAUGUUGGCUAUUUUUAAGCACAUUCGAAGUAAAAAUAUAUUUUCACUAAAUGGACUAAAAAGAAAACAGCAACAACA
rnacentral:lncRNA from 1 species